rnacentral:rRNA from 1 species
GUUAUAUAGUCAAGCGACCAAGCGCACAUGGUGGAUGCCUAGGCAGUUAGAGGCGAUGAAGGACGUAGUAGCCUGCGAAAAGCGUCGGGGAGCUGGCAAACAAGCUUCGAUCCGGCGAUGUCCGAAUGGGGAAACCCACCUGUCAUAAGGCAGGUAUCCUGUACUGAAUACAUAGGUACAGGAAGCGAACCGGGAGAACUGAAACAUCUAAGUACCCCGAGGAAAAGAAAUCAACCGAGAUUCCCUCAGUAGCGGCGAGCGAACGGGGACCAGCCCUUAAGCUUGGUGACGAAUAGGAGAAGGCCCUGGAAAGUGCCGCCAUAGUGGGUGAUAGCCCCGUAUCCGAAAUUCUAUCCAAGUGAAAUCGAGUAGGUCGGGACACGAGAAAUCUUGACUGAAUAUGGGGGGACCAUCCUCCAAGGCUAAAUACUACUAACUGACCGAUAGUGAACCAGUACCGUGAGGGAAAGGCGAAAAGAACCCCUGUGAGGGGAGUGAAAUAGACCCUGAAACCGUGUGCGUACAAGCAGUGGGAGCAGGCUUGUCCUGUGACUGCGUACCUUUUGUAUAAUGGGUCAGCGACUUAUUUUCAGUGGCGAGGUUAACCGAAUAGGGGAGCCGUAGUGAAAGCGAGCCUGAAUAGGGCGUUUUAGUCGCUGGGAAUAGACCCGAAACCGAGUGAUCUAUCCAUGAGCAGGUUGAAGGUGCGGUAACACGCACUGGAGGACCGAACCCACUCCCGUUGAAAAGGUAGGGGAUGACUUGUGGAUAGGAGUGAAAGGCUAAUCAAACUCGGAGAUAGCUGGUUCUCCUCGAAAGCUAUUUAGGUAGCGCCUCGGACGAAUACCACUGGGGGUAGAGCACUGUUUGGGCUAGGGGGUCAUCUCGACUUACCAACCCCAUGCAAACUCCGAAUACCAGUGAGUACUAUCCGGGAGACACACGGCGGGUGCUAACGUCCGUCGUGAAAAGGGAAACAACCCAGACCGCCAGCUAAGGUCCCCAAGUCCAUGUUAAGUGGGAAACGAUGUGGGAAGGCAUAGACAGCUAGGAGGUUGGCUUAGAAGCAGCCAUCCUUUAAAGAAAGCGUAAUAGCUCACUAGUCGAGUCGGCCUGCGCGUAAGAUUCAACGGGGCUCAAACAUGGCACCGAAGCUGCGGAUCCAUACUCAGUAUGGGUGGUAGAGGAGCGUUCUGUAAGCCGUCGAAGCGGACUUGUAAAGGUCCGUGGAGGUAUCAGAAGUGCGAAUGCUGACAUGAGUAACGACAAAGGGGGUGAAAAACCCCCUCGCCGGAAGACCAAGGGUUCCUGCGCAACGCUAAUCGGCGCAGGGUGAGUCGGCCCCUAAGGUGAGACCGAAAGGUGUAAUCGAUGGGAAACAGAUUAAUAUUUCUGUACCUCAACUAACUGCGAUGGAGGGACGGAGAAGGCUAGGCCAGCACGGCGAUGGUUGUCCGUGUUUAAGGUGGUAGGCUGAGAUCUCAGGCAAAUCCGGGAUCUCAAGGCCGAGAACUGAUGACGAGGUUCCUUUUGGAACUGAAGUGGUUGAUGCCAUGCUUCCAGGAAAAGCUUCUAAGCUUCAGGUUAGUUGGGACCGUACCCCAAACCGACACAGGUGGUCAGGUAGAGAAUACCAAGGCGCUUGAGAGAACUCGGGUGAAGGAACUAGGCAAAAUGGUGCCGUAACUUCGGGAGAAGGCACGCCGGCCAAGGUGAAGGACUUGCUCCGUAAGCCCCGGCCGGUCGAAGAUACCAGGCCCCUGCGACUGUUUAUUAAAAACACAGCACUCUGCAAACACGAAAGUGGACGUAUAGGGUGUGACGCCUGCCCGGUGCCGGAAGGUUAAUUGAUGGGGUCAGCCGCAAGGCGAAGCUCUUGAUCGAAGCCCCGGUAAACGGCGGCCGUAACUAUAACGGUCCUAAGGUAGCGAAAUUCCUUGUCGGGUAAGUUCCGACCUGCACGAAUGGCGUAACGAUGGCCACGCUGUCUCCACCCGAGACUCAGUGAAAUUGAAAUCGCAGUGAAGAUGCUGUGUAUCCGCGGCUAGACGGAAAGACCCCGUGAACCUUUACUAUAGCUUCACAGUGAACUUUGAUACUACUUGUGUAGGAUAGCUGGGAGGCUUUGAAGCGGUGACGCCAGUUCGUGGAGCCGACCUUGAAAUACCACCCUGGUAUUGUUGAGGUUCUAACCCAGACCCGUAAUCCGGGUCGGGGACAUUGUGUGGUGGGUAGUUUGACUGGGGCGGUCUCCUCCCAAAGAGUAACGGAGGAGCACGAAGGUGCGCUAAGGAUGGUCGGACAUCAUGCGGUUAGUGUAAAGGCAAAAGCGCGCUUAACUGCGAGACGGACAGGUCGAGCAGGUACGAAAGUAGGUCUUAGUGAUCCGGUGGUUCUGUAUGGAAGGGCCAUCGCUCAACGGAUAAAAGGUACUCCGGGGAUAACAGGCUGAUACCGCCCAAGAGUUCACAUCGACGGCGGUGUUUGGCACCUCGAUGUCGGCUCAUCACAUCCUGGGGCUGAAGCCGGUCCCAAGGGUAUGGCUGUUCGCCAUUUAAAGUGGUACGCGAGCUGGGUUUAGAACGUCGUGAGACAGUUCGGUCCCUAUCUGCCGUGGACGUUGGAAACUUGAGAAGAGCUGCUCCUAGUACGAGAGGACCGGAGUGGACGUACCUCUGGUGUUCGGGUUGUCAUGCCAAUGGCAUUGCCCGGUAGCUAUGUACGGACGGGAUAACCGCUGAAAGCAUCUAAGCGGGAAGCCUCCUUCAAGAUAAGGUUUCCCUGAGGCCUUGAGCCUCCUGAAGAGCCCUUAAAGACUAUGAGGUUGAUAGGCAGGGUGUGUAAGUGCCGUGAGGCAUUGAGCUAACCUGUACUAAUUGCUCGUGAGGCUUGACUAUAUAACGCCCAAACAGUCUGGG